rnacentral:rRNA from 1 species
AGUGAACGCUGGCGGUAGGCCUAACACAUGCAAGUCGAACGGCAGCACAGUAAGAGCUUGCUCUUACGGGUGGCGAGUGGCGGACGGGUGAGGAAUACAUCGGAAUCUACUUUUUCGUGGGGGAUAACGUAGGGAAACUUACGCUAAUACCGCAUACGACCUACAGGUGAAAGCAGGGGAUCUUCGGACCUUGCGCGAUUGAAUGAGCCGAUGUCGGAUUAGCUAGUUGGCGGGGUAAAGGCCCACCAAGGCGACGAUCCGUAGCUGGUCUGAGAGGAUGAUCAGCCACACUGGAACUGAGACACGGUCCAGACUCCUACGGGAGGCAGCAGUGGGGAAUAUUGGACAAUGGACGCAAGCCUGAUCCAGCCAUACCGCGUGGGUGAAGAAGGCCUUCGGGUUGUAAAGCCCUUUUGUUGGGAAAGAAAAGCAGCAGGUUAAUACCCCGCUGUUCUGACGGUACCCAAAGAAUAAGCACCGGCUAACUUCGUG